GGAAGACACAAAAGUGGUCAUGUGACCCUCCCCAGUAUUACAUUUUGGGGGCCCAGGGCAGCCAGCAGAGAAGUAAAUCACUGCAGGUCAGAAGGCAAGACUGGG